rnacentral:rRNA from 1 species
GACGAACCGUGCGAACGUUGUUCGGAUUCACUGGGCUUAAAGGGCGCGUAGGCGGGUGACCAAGUCCGGGGUGAAAUCUUUCGGCUCAACCGGAAAACAGCCCUGGAUACUGGUCGUCUGGAGGGAGGUAGGGGCACGCGGAACUUCCGGUGGAGCGGUGAAAUGCGUAGAGAUCGGAAGGAACGCCGGUGGCGAAAGCGGCGUGCUGGACCUCUUCUGACGCUGAGGCGCGAAAGCCAGGGGAGCAAACGGG